GAGCCUUCUUCAGGCGUGAGAAAGACAAGGCAGUAAGCAAAGGCAAGAGGUAUUGUGUGACAUAGCUGUUGGAUGUUCACCAGCACCUACAGUAAACUUUUCAUAGCAAGUAUAAAAAAGAGAGGAGAUUCCUGGUCACUAAACAGCAGGUUGGAGAAGCAGCACUUUGAUGCCUGACAAGAUGGCAGGAUGUGAUGAAAUGCUACAAAGACAUGGCCCCUAACCCUUCCAUUCCCCUUUCAUCUCCCAGUGGGAAACCCCACAGCAGGGUCAGCAUUCAGGGGGACCACCCCACAGUUCCCGUGGGGGGAUGGCAAACUCACAACUUCUACUGUCACUUCUUCACCGUGUUGUUAAGGAAAUAAAUGAAUGACAAGCAAAAGUGAUCUUA